AGUGAACGCUGGCGGCAGGCCUAACACAUGCAAGUCGAACGGCAGCACAGGAGAGCUUGCUCUCUGGGUGGCGAGUGGCGGACGGGUGAGGAAUACAUCGGAAUCUACUCUGUCGUGGGGGAUAACGUAGGGAAACUUACGCUAAUACCGCAUACGACCUACGGGUGAAAGCAGGGGACCUUCGGGCCUUGCGCGAUUGAAUGAGCCGAUGUCGGAUUAGCUAGUUGGCGGGGUAAAGGCCCACCAAGGCGACGAUCCGUAGCUGGUCUGGGAGGAUGAGCAGCCAAACUGGAAAGGAGACACGGUCCAGACUCCUACGGGAGGCAACAGUGGGGAAUAUUGGACAAUGGGAGCAAGCCUGAUCCAGCCAUACCGCGUGGGUGAAGAAGGCCUUCGGGUUGUAAAGCCCUUUUGUUGGGAAAGAAAUCCAGCUGGCUAAUACCCGGUUGGGAUGACGGUACCCAAAGAAUAAGCACCGGCUAACUUCGCGCCAGCCGCCGCCGUAA
rnacentral:rRNA from 1 species